AUUGAACGCUGGCGGCAUGCUUUACACAUGCAAGUCGAACGGCAGCGGGGGCUUCGGCCCGCCGGCGAAUGGCGAACGGGUGAGUAAUGCAUCGGAACGUGCCCAGUCGUGGGGGAUAACACAUCGAAAGAUGUGCUAAUACCGCAUACGUCCUGAGGGAGAAAGCGGGGGAUCUUCGGACCUCGCGCGAUUGGAGCGGCCGAUGUCGGAUUAGCUAGUUGGUGGGGUAAAAGCCCACCAAGGCGACGAUCCGUAGCGGGUCUGAGAGGAUGAUCCGCCACACUGGUACUGAGACACGGACCAGACUCCUACGGGAGGCAGCAGUGAGGAAUAUUGGUCAAUGGACGCAAGUCUGAACCAGCCACGUCGCGUGAAGGAAGACGGCCCUACGGGUUGUAAACUUCUUUUAUACGGGAAUAAAGUGCCCCACGCGUGGGGUUUUGCAUGUACCGUAUGAAUAAGGAUCGGCUAACUCCGUGCCAGCAGCCGCGGUAAAUACGC
rnacentral:rRNA from 1 species